GCUCAAAUUUGAAAUCUCUUUGGUCUCCAAAGCGAAUUGUAGUUUAAAGAAUUGUUUUCGGAGGCAGCUUAUGGUUAAGUUCCUUGGGAUAGGGCAUCAUAGAAGGUGAGAAUCCUGUAUGUGCUGUAAUCCUGCUUCUAUGUGAUACAAUUUCUAAGAGUCGGGUUGUUUGGGAAUGCAGCCCAAAAUGGGUGGUAAAUACCAUCUAAAGCUAAAUAUUGGCGAGAGACCGAUAGCGAACAAGUACCGUGAGGGAAAGAUGAAAAGAACUUUGAAAAGAGAGUUAAAAGUACGUGAAAUUGUCAAAAGGGAAACACUUGAAACCAGUCUUGCAAUUGGAAUCCCAACUAGUCUAACGAUUAGCAUAUGUUUUCAAUUGCAGGUCAAUAUCAGUUUCACUUGAAGUACAAAGCCUGAAGAAGGUAGCCUCUCGGGGUGUUAUAGCUUCAGGUUAUGCUUUGAGUGGGACUGAGGAAUGCAGUGCAGUCUUGGGUACCCUGUCGCUGGUUGAUGUACAUUUAUAGACAACUUGUUGAUUAUGAAAGUAAUAAGGCCAAUCGGCGGGUUUGCCACACCUGUGCUUAGGAUAUUGACAUAAUGGUUUUAAAUGACCCGUCUUGAAACACGGACCAAGGAGUCUAACACAUAUGCGAGUUUUUGGGUGGUAAACCCGGGAAGCGCAAUGAAAGUAGUAAGGUGGGAUUCGCAAGAUGCACCAUCGACCGGUCUGGAUAUUUAUUGAUAGAUCUGAGUAAGAGCAUAUGUGCUAGGACCCGAAAGAUGGUGAACUAUGCCUGAAUAGGGUGAAGCCAGAGGAAACUCUGGUGGAGGCUCGUAGCGAUUCUGACGUGCAAAUCGAUCGUCAAAUUUGGGU
rnacentral:rRNA from 1 species